rnacentral:misc_RNA from 1 species
CCCUCCUUUUUUUUUACUUUUUU